AUUGAACGCUGGCGGCAGGCCUAACACAUGCAAGUCGAGCGGAUGAAGGGAGCUUGCUCCUGGAUUCAGCGGCGGACGGGUGAGUAAUGCCUAGGAAUCUGCCUGGUAGUGGGGGAUAACGUCCGGAAACGGGCGCUAAUACCGCAUACGUCCUGAGGGAGAAAGUGGGGGAUCCUCGGACCUCACGCUAUCAGAUGAGCCUAGGUCGGAUUAGCUAGUUGGUGGGGUAAAGGCCUACCAAGGCGACGAUCCGUAACUGGUCUGAGAGGAUGAUCAGUCACACUGGAACUGAGACACGGUCCAGACUCCUACGGGAGGCAGCAGUGGGGAAUAUUGGACAAUGGGCGAAAGCCUGAUCCAGCCAUGCCGCGUGUGUGAAGAAGGUCUUCGGAUUGUAAAGCACUUUAAGUUGGGAGGAAGGGCAGUAAGUUAAUACCUUGCUGUUUUGACGUUACCAACAGAAUAAGCGCCGGCUAACUUCGUG
rnacentral:rRNA from 1 species